rnacentral:misc_RNA from 1 species
AAGAAUGUCCUCCACAUCAUAAGCAAGGUCUCUGAGCUCACUUACCCACAUCUUUACCAGUGGGUUAGUAAUCUGCUUCUCUUCUGCGUCAUCGAGCACUAGAUAAACUUUCUUCAACAUAAUCUCCCACUUCUCGAGUUCAUCAUGGACUUGUCCUUCACUUGCAUAGUUAACAAAGUCAUGAGAGAGCAACCUGUCAAAGAGGGCCUGAAAAGAAACAGAGAGGAGAGCACCUACAAUAGUUGCUACAGCCUCCAUCGUCGAGAUUCAGUUGCUAUAGACUGGAAUUUAACCUUGAUUUCCAAGUGGGUAUGAGAUCAGGAACACAAAGUCUAUCAAAAUUGUCACAAGUACAAAAUACGAGGAGACAGCUAAAACAACGCUAUGACACUGUGACCUUUGCAUGUAACGAAUAAAAUAAGAAGAUCAAUUUGUCUAGACAGUCUUAAGUUUGUUUGAACAGCCGCAAAGCUUUAGCCUCAUUUGAAAUACAAUAAUUUCUUUUUUUCGAAAAACAAAUUAGUGCUCCUCGUCUAUGUAAGUUCAUCAAUAAAUGUUCAUAUAAUGAAAAAUAAAAAAAUCAAUAUCUUUGGAGGGAGCUACAAAUUGGCAAGUAAAAAAAAUGUAGCUAUCACAAAAGCCGACAGGCGGCAACUAGGUAAAAAAACAAAAAGGGAAAUUUAGGGGCUGUU